rnacentral:rRNA from 1 species
AGAAUCAACGCUGGCGGCGUGCCUAACACAUGCAAGUCGAACGAGAAAGUGGAGCAAUCCAUGAGUAAAGUGGCGACCGGGUGAGUAACACGUGACUAACCUACCUUCGAGUGGGGGAUAACCUCGGGAAACCGAGGCUAAUACCGCAUAACAUCGCAAGAUCAAAGCAGCAAUGCGCUUGAAGAGGGGGUCGCGGCUGAUUAGCUAGUUGGCGGGUAACGCCACAAGGCGAAGAUCGGUA